UCUUUCGAUUUAGUAUGCAUAACUGAAACAUGGCUGAUUAAAGACGCCCAAAUUUUGUCCACAAUCUCCCGUGGUGGUGGGGUUCUAAUCGCUGUUUCGUCUCACAUACUAAAUUCCUACAUGUUCGAUUACAUCUGUGGAAAUGGUCCAACCAAUAUUUUAUAUCUGCUGUGUAUACAUCUCUUAUCAACAACAUCAAUAACAUCAAUGCCCCAGACAUCUGCUGGCCCUCACUUUCUGCCCAUCAGCCAUUUUCCAAAGAUAUCUGUAACAUUUAACACAUGUGUGUGGCAACACACUUGACAUAGUGACCACAAAACAUAGUGACCACAAACACUCCGGAUAGGCUGAGGAAUGUCAUAGUGGACAAUAAGAACAAGUUCUGUUGCUCUGACCACAUUGCCAUCAGACAUUCUCAAGCUAGACCAGUGGAACCAAGCAAACUGUAUUCAAGGGCAGAUUUCCAAAGGGACACUCACAUAACUAAUUACCUCACAUAACUAAUUACCUAUCAAUGCCAGCACCCUUUUUGGAGUUUGAUGUCAAGCGCCUUAUCUUCUGCUUGCCAGCUCUACGUGCCAUCUAUCACAAUAUCACGAAAGAAUUGUGGUUCGAUGGUGAAUACCAUAAAACGCUCUGUUAAACGGAAGUGCACGGUGGCUAGAAGUGCACGGUGGCUAAGCAAAGAAAGCUUAACCGUCUGGAAGAAGAAUUUACUAACAAACUAAUCUCGGGUAGGCGUCGCUAUGAAGAAAAACUUAUCCAGAACUUUUCCUCCUCCCCAAAAAAACUGUUUCGUCACCUAAGAUCUCUGAGUGCAUCCAAACACAGUCAACUCCGUCCCUGUCACUGACCCCCUUGAACUGGAAAAUAUUUUCAACCAAUACUUUUCAACCAAUACUUCCACUCCACGAAUAAUUACCAACUCUCACACUCACACCACCUCACAAUAAUGCCUGAGGAGACAUACAAAUGUCUAUUAGAAGCAAGUACUCGCUCACAGAUGCACCAUUGGAAAAUCCACAAAAUUCGUCCUAUCGUCCUAUCCCCGCUCCCUCACAGAGGUUACCAACUACAGACCAAUCUCCAUUACGUCAAAAAUCCUCAUCUAUAACAAAAUGUUUACCAAUUUGGCUUCCGCUCAUGCCUCAGCCAGCUCCUCAUUUUCUACUCAAACAUUGUCGACAGCAAAAUCCCAACAGAUGUGGUGUACCUGGACUUGUCGAAGGCAUUUGAUACUGUAUCGCACAAUAAACUGCUCUACAAACUCUGGAUGCUAGGCAUAACUGGGCAGUGGUUUAAAAGUUACAAAUCUCUGAACGGACAUCCUGGACAGGUACAGCCUCAAAUGCCUUCUUGGUAACGCCCAAGCAAACUCUAUGGAGCCAUCCCUGGCAGCUUCCUUCGCAGUAGACUGAUUCGUUGAAGGCAAGCACUCUACUUUACUUCCUGUGCUAUCUGGAGUUCCACAGGGGAGCAUACUAAGCAUACUAGGCCCCCUUCCCCCUUUGGUAUAUAUUAAUGAUCUUCCGGAAAUUGUUCCUAGUGUUCCUGUUCGCAGACGAUACCAAGCUUCUCCAAACUCUCACCUCACCUUCAAUCUGAUUUGGUGUAAGAGAUGGAGCCUAAGCAUGAAUAAUAGUAAGUGCAAAGUCAUGCGCUUUAAUCAGCCUGUACUGGAGGAGACCAACAGAUACGUCAUAGAUGGAACCCUUAUAGACUUUACGGACAACUACAAGGAUCUUGGAAUACUACAGCAGAUUGCAGUUAACUUGCCUGUAGACUUUGGCAGACGGUUAUGUAAACAAUAGUAAACAACAUUCCAACAACGUGUUGCCUCGUUUAGACGCCGCGGCUAAUAAAUAGCCUCACCUGAUCAAAGGUGAAAGUUCAACUAGCUAAAGUUUUUAAUUUUAACAAGGACACAAAAAUGGACCCACAACACCCCAUGGGACAGUAUGCCUACUCAUAUGGUAAUCUACUCAUAUGGUAAUGUUUGGCCGGAGUAUCAGUAUCAGUGGUCUCCAGAACAGCUACCUGUGACCAGUCAUCAGCCUAGACAGGACGACUUGAAGUACCAUGUUCGAAUUAUUAACCAAAAGUUAAAGAAGGACUCGAUUGUAGUUGAUUGGCAUGGUAUCUCUAACAAGUUUUCAUCGAUACUUGAACUGAAACAAAAGCUUAUCAGUACUCUCAGUAAGUAUGUCCCUCCUGCAUCUGCAAUAGAUGAGUUUAAUGUUGGGUACUUCCAUGGACGUCCUCAAGUAAAGAGCUGGAUUUUAUCGGAAGAAGAUUUAAAAGCCAUGUACACAAAUGCUGGUGACAAAGAGAUCUUGCUGUGGUGUGAUGGACAAGUGCAGGUUACAUCAACUUUUGGUCGUAAGCGAAAACAAGACGAUGCUGAAACGGAGAGUGUGCCUAAACGUGCUGCUAGCAGUGCUUCUGGAGAAGAAGCAGAGCUUCAAGAACACGUUCAUGAAUUACAAAACAUUCAUGGAGACAAAUUGACUAUGGUGACUACAGAAUCUGGGCGAGAAUGAUUAAAAAUCAUCAAUGGAAAGACAAAGAUACUACUCCAAAUAUCCCUAUGAUUAGAGGGAAAGUUUCUCGUAAAGGCAAACAUGAUGUAGUUGAUACUCUGGCUAAUGCUGCUGUUGCUAUCGUGAAAGCUUUAAGGCCAUCAUCUCCUGACGUAAACCCCAGUGUUACUGCUGCUGCAUCAUGUAGUACACUUGGGAUGUCACCUGGUAAAAAAGUACAGCUACGGUCCCAGUACCUCAAACAACUCAAGGAGAUUCAGAACCUUCGAGAUGAAAAUGUUCUAAGUAUUGAUGAGUUUCAAGCUGAAAAAUAUACUAUCUUAACGACAUUACGUGAACUUAAGUAAGGAAAUAUUAAUUAUGGAACACAAUAAAGACAUGUAUGACAUUAUAAUAAUAAUAAUGUGACAUUGUUUAAUAUCUGAUUGACUUGUUAAUUGUAAUAA